UUCCUUCAAGUCCCUUCCCUUUAUUUAUAUAUAUAUGCUUCGGUCCAUUUCGCAUCGUUACAUUACAAUUCUUUGACCUUCUUCUUCGACUUGUACUACUUCUUUGCCAGCUCAUUCAUUACAAGUAAAACGUAUAAAACAAUUACGUAUUCCUGUCUCCCACUCUCUGCCUUCUCCUCCUCAUCCCUUAAUUCUUUCUUAUUAUAUUCUUAAUUUAAAGUAACGGCGAUACAUAUAUAUAAAGUAAUCGAUUCUAAAAAAAAAAAAAAAAAAAAAAAAAAAAAAAGUAAUCGAUUCUGUCAUCUAAGUAUUCCACGUAGCGAACUCUCCUGAGUUUCUGCCAGCGUCUCAGACAACAAUUCUUUCCCCUUAAUUUGCAUCAUCUUUCAUUAAUGGUAAUGUUCCUUUAAACGCGAUUCAUUAGAGUAUCGAUCAUUGUAAUUCUAUGCAUUAACAAUCAUUGUACUUUCUGAUUACUGAUUAAAAAUUUUGGCGGCUAAAAAAC
rnacentral:lncRNA from 1 species